GCUUAAAUUCCAGGUGGCCUGAGACAAGGCCUACCCUGGUACGAGAAGGCACACAUCGACCUAGGCCCCAAAGGGGGGUUUGUGACCCCACACACAUAGAUAACCAGGGAGGCCAGCACUCCAACUUUUAUUGCCCAAAGCUUUAACGACCUACAGAUAGCAGAGUGGAUCCCCAGGGACAGGGGCCCCUCGACUUGGCACACAACCCCAUCCCCCGACGUCCUGCCUUACAUACCACUCACCGAACAGACCAACACCCCAAAGAAAGUUUCUUUUAAGUUUGGCUUUUGUAUAUCUGUAUAUGUAUUUACUCUUGACUACUAGUCUUAAUAUACAGAUAUGUACAGGUUAUGUUCGAAUGUGUCUUAACUUUUGGAGAUUCUUUUUCUUUGUUUGACAAACCUUCUCCCCCCCCCUUUUUCUUUGCCACAUUCCUCGGCAACCCUUAUCUGAUCUUUGUAUUCUACCAUGCCUAUCUAAGGGUAAGAUGUGCUUAUGACAUGAGAAUAUGUCAUAUAAUGUCUGUAUAAAGGGUAAUAUCUGUUGAGGUACAACCUAAACCACCUGUACCAUAUACUGGUGUGAGUAAUAGAACAUAACAUAAUAGCAUAAUAUAAGUAAUCAUUAAUUAAUCAUCACAGAUGGUAUUUGGUGUGAACCGCUGGGCUGGUACGGCAUGUUUGGUAUCAAACCGAAGGAAAAUCACUCCAGUUUCCAAAUCUGGUCAGUGGUUACCACAAAAGUGGACGUAUCAAAAGUUACACCAGCCUAAUGAAAAUCACCAUUACCAGAGAAGUCAGUCUGGUCAUAAAUCCCAAAAAGACUGAUACCGACCCCCUUCCGAAGCCCGCCAAAUGGAUGGUCAGCCAUUGGUCCAGGACUCAAAUUCCUGGUCACUCCUAAUCACGAACCUUAUGCUAUAAAACCUGGCACCUCAGAACAGAGAAAGGCGGAGAAAAAGAGAAGAACACGGAGAAACAAGCAGCGUUCUUAAAGCCCGUCGGUGAAGACCCAAAGAACUGCAACUCAGCCCAAGCUUCACCAGAAGAAAGAACCGGAGGGACUCCACUCCAACAACCGCUGCAAACACCGCGCCUCCCUGAGAGCCAUCACCCAUCAGCUCAUCAGCCACUGCAACCAACUGCAAAGACCUCCCUCUUUCCUGCAUCCAAGUAAACCAACUUCCUUUCCUUUCUAACAACCUGAACUGUCCUAUUCACCUGCUAUAUUCCUUUAGGUUUAUAAUCCUUACAAACUGCUUGCUUUGCAGAACAGUUUUUCCCUUUUCAGGUUAAUCAUUUUAAAUCUGGUCAUUGCAUUUUCAUGAUUACAUCGUUUGUGUCUAUUCCGUUAUUUCAUGUUUAUUGUUUGUUAGGUGUAAUGUCUGUCUUAUGUUAGUUGUAGGAAUAAAUGCAUGUCUUUUUACACAA